AUUGCGCGCUCCGCCGCACCCGCAGUAGGAUCGGAUGUCGUCGUCUGCAGCUGUUGCCUGAGGUAUCACCACGCCUCGGCUUAAGGUCUCCGGCACUGAUACAGGGUGUCCACAGUUAGUCCACAGUACUCGUCACCGCUGGAGCUACUGGAAGGAAUGUCACCUGCGCCGCCGCCCCCGUCGCAUGUCACUCCAGGGACACCCCUAGUUGCGAUGGAGGGGUGAGCAGCUGUUACGCCCGACACCACGUGACCGGAAGCUUCGUGGAUUCCGGUCUAACCUUCAGGCGCGCGGUUGCACUGGAACCCGCGCGACCCUCCGGGGCUGGUGGAGUCUCCUUCCGCUGCAUCUACUGCCCUGUGCAGUAGACGAUGCCGGGGUAGAUGACGUCACGGUCCGUGCAGUUCGCCAGCGAUUGUAGAACUACCGAAGUCACACGCUCACAAAUCGUUCACUUUACCCUGCUUUACCACUCGCGCACUUCAACUUCAUGCGUCCCUGGCAGAAUAACAGUCCUUGUGCCAUUUCUGCAGCUGGAUCCUAAGCUGAAAACCCUUACUUAAUUACUCCUUAAGUAUUGGUCUUUGGAUUCACAUAAAAUCAGCAAAUAUAACGUAAUUAUUAAAAUAAUAGUAAAAUUAUUAACUUUUAAAAUCAAAUACAUAAAUAACCUUUCAUAACACAUAGCAUUAAUACUCAAAGUCAAUAAACAUUUAAACACAUAAACAUAUAGCUUUUUUGGGAACACAUAGCAUAAGACACAUUUUUAACACUGAUAAAUGCUAGAUAUUAAAGUUCAUGACAAAAAUGUACACUGUUAACUUUAUAGUUUUUUAUAUAUUUCAGAACAAUUGCAUUAUAAUGAACAUAACAUAUAAGCAUCGAUUUUGGGUAAGAUAAAGAGACAUUGGACUUAGCCAAAAUCGCAACAGAUGCUUUAUUUACCUUUUUCAUGGUGGAGAAUAUUGUGUCCCAACUCAAAAUAUUAUUAGGUGCAUACACUAUAUCAUUGUUACACAUAUUUCACUGAGAACAACUAAAUAAAUAUACACAAUUUUUACAAAAGUUUUCCACCCUUUCUGGCUCUUUGCCUCAACUUAGGGACAUUAUCACAUAUGACAAAAAUAAUUGUUACCAUAACAUUGAUGUUUACUAGGCAUAAAAUUCUGCUUAGAACCUAGUAAACAUUACUUGUCAGGUUCGAUUUUUUUUUCUUUGACAAAGAAAAGUAGACACUGACAUUGUCAAAAUAAGAACAGCUGAUCAUAGCAACAUUGUAAACAUCAAUAGAACCUGCUGUAAUAUUGACGUCAGUUUAAUAGUUGGUCCAAACAACUACUUUAAUCAGUCUUUACUGAUAUUUAAUUUCAUUUAGCAAUUUUCCACACGUUUUUCUGUUGACGUUUUUCAUGCCAAUUCUUCAAGUUGACGCGCCGAGGAUGAUCAAGGUUACACACGUAGUUAGUACCUACUCCUUAAAAUAUUCAUAUUCAUCCUCUACACACCCUACACCACAGGUAUGCUUGCAGUUAUAAGGCAACACACUGCACUCAGCACUGAAGACGUCUCAUCAUAACAAGACUAAACCUCACUAGAGAAAUAAAGUGCAUACGUAGAUAUGUGUUGAAAUAUCCUAUUUCCUGUGCAAUGUAGGCUUCUCAACGUCAAUAAAUCACCGUCAAACGUG